rnacentral:lncRNA from 1 species
AAACCUCACGCGCCGAAAGCCUUUCAUCUGAUUCCUAUUUCCACUACUAUUGUUGGGGAUCACCACCACCGCUACCCAUGCAUCCAAAUCAAAAAUCCAAGAUACAAUCCACAAAUCCCCAAAUCAAAGUCUGUUCACCCAAAUCAAAAUCCCCAAAUCGCCAAAUCACCGCGCACGCCUGUAACUCAUCCACUUCCCCCACCCUAUGAGCUCCGCGCCGAGGAAGCCGCGCCCUCAGCCACAGGCUUACGGCAGCUCCCCCACCUCCUCCAGCCGUGGCUGCAGCCGCCUCUCCGCCCCACCGUGGAGCCGGCGGGUAAAGAAGCUGAGAAGGAAGCCCUCCCGGCCGUCACCGGCCCUGGCGACGGCGGCGAGGUGACCACGGAGGAGUGGCCACGGUGGGGCACCUCCUCGCUCCUCCCGGUCACGGUGGCCGCCGUCAUCCGCGAGCUUCUCGAGAGGAGGAGGAGGCCAAACACGCCGCCGUCCCGACGGCUUGGUGGGUGCGUCAUCCUGAGCCGCAAGGAGGGUGUUGCUGCCGAGGCGCUGCCGUGA